GGCAUUCCAAAGGGAUAUUAUGUAAAACUUCAUAGAAAACAGAUUGCAUAAAAUAUAAGCAAAUGUAAGAGAAGUAUAUGUUACACAUGUUAAGGGUUUAACCUUAAUCUCUAAUUUAAGUUUUAGCCUAGGUAAUUAAUUAAUUGAUGUUGUAUUGAUUCUUGUGUUUGUAUGAUUGUAGAGACCGUCCUGGAGUGUUUGUGCCGCCUGAUUUCUGGGACUACACAUCAAUCUCUCCGGCUGACCAUGCAAUAAGUAUUUUGCAAUUACAUCUGUUUGGUCAUUACCAUGCAGGCCGAAGAAACUGAGAUACUUAUGAGGACAUAAACUUUGCACGCAAGAACCUGGAAAGUCCCGAAGGUGCAGUGCUGUCUAAUACCGCUGGUUCUGUAAAAACCCUUUCAACCACUGGGGUGUUGCACAGAACAUUGUGGUGAAAAUCCAGCAAACAAAAGAAGAACUAUGUGGAAG